AAGAGCUCCUACCUCCUCUGUUCUUUUAAUCUCCUGCUGCGGGUGGCAGACAUGGGAGAGACAGGCAAGCUGCAAAGGGAAGUCGACGAAAUAAAAUUAAAGCCCUACAAUCGUGUUCGUGUCAAUGUAGAUGGGGUGCCCCCCUCGGUUUGCUCACAGAGGUGGGUGUGAGAUCCUACAGGACGGUCUGGAAGACAUCCCAUGGAAGGCACUUUAUUUUGCCCAGAAGCUGGAGGAAAAGCAGAAGGGCGCUGAACACUGACUAAGAGGAGAGAGCGCACAUUACAUGGAGACCAUGGUCCCCAUACCAGAAACAUGAGAGUAGAGAGAAGCAAAGCCAGCAUCGUGGAGCCAGUCCCUUUAUCCAGGAUCUUGGAGGGAUACAGUCUUCUGUAGAAAUUAAAUAAAGACUGAAUUCUUCAAUGGGUAUUUUGAGAAGAGAGCCACUGUAAGCUUAUACACUGUGAAUUGCAAAAUGUUACUGCCUCUGGGUGGACAGGUUUUAAAAAGACUUUUUUUUUUCCUCCUGGCAUGGCUGACAGAGGGAAGGCUGGGUUUCAAUCCCAUCUUUCCCUUCCCUUGCCCAGUGCUUCUUUAUGUGCACAACCUGCACAACUAUAUGUGGUUUGCAAACACGCAUAAGCAAAGACUAACAGCUUCUGAAACAAACUCUGAAUAAAAGAGGGAGCAUAUUAAGGCAGAUGGCAGAGGAGGUGAGCAGCAUGGGCAGAUAGAAGCAUCACAGAGACUACAAGAAGAAUGUGCCAGACCGGCUCAUAGUGGCCACACUGAUUAAGAAUUACCAUCAGCUCUUUAGGAUUUGGAAACUUGGAAACACAUUGUGUGUUCUUCCUGGUUUGUUAUAGAGUAUGUGUAUGUACUUCUUUCUCUUAAAAAUAUUUAUUUUUAAAGAAUUGACUUAUAAAAUUAUAUGUAUUUGUCAUGUAUAACACAAUAUUUUGAAGUACAGUCCUGUGUCAUAAGGAUAUGUUCUGAGAAAUCCAUCAAUUUUGUCAUUGUAUAAACAUGAUAGAGUGUAUUUACACAAACCUAGGUGGUAUAAACUACUACACACCUAGGCUACAUAAUGUAGCCUAUUGCUCCUAGGCUAUAAACCUGUAUAACAUGCUACUGUACUAAAUACUAUAGACAAUAGUCACAUACUGGUGAGUAUUUGCGUAUCAAAACAUAUCUAAAUAUAGAAAAGAUGCAGUAAAAAUAUGGUAUUACAAUCUUAUGAGACCACUAUAGUAUAUGAGGUCCAUCAUUGAUUAAAACAUAGUUAUAUGGUGCAUGACUGUAUAUAUGCAUUGUGGAAUGGUUAAAUCUAGCUAACUAACAAAUGUGUUAUAUCACAUAGUUAUUAUUUUUGAGGUGAGAAUACAAUAUUCACUCUCUUAGCAUUUUUUAAGAAUACAGUAUAUUAACUAUAGUCACCAUGCUGAAUGGUAGAUCUCUGGAACUAAUUUCUCCUAUCUAAGUGUGAUUAUGUACCCUUUGACCAACAUCUUUCUAACCCCACCCCACAAACACCCCAUAAUAAAGCCUCUUGUAACCACCA
rnacentral:lncRNA from 1 species